rnacentral:rRNA from 1 species
UACGUAGGGUGCGAGCGUUAAUCGGAAUUACUGGGCGUAAAGCGGGCGCAGACGGUUACUUAAGCGGGAUGUGAAAUCCCCGGGCUCAACCCGGGAACUGCGUUCCGAACUGGGUGGCUAGAGUGUGUCAGAGGGGGGUAGAAUUCCACGUGUAGCAGUGAAAUGCGUAGAGAUGUGGAGGAAUACCGAUGGCGAAGGCAGCCCCCUGGGAUAACACUGACGUUCAUGCCCGAAAGCGUGGGUAG